rnacentral:sRNA from 1 species
AAAAUGCCAGUUAUCAGUGUUUUAACUACUUAUUAUGAAAUGUAAAUUUGCUUCCCAACGAGCUAAAUUUGCGUUAAAUCGGGUUUUAACUACUUAUUAUGAAAUGUAAAUCUCACUUCCACCACCUCGCAUUCUGUGUUUGUUUCGUUUUAACUACUUAUUAUGAAAUGUAAAUCAUGGGAUAAAGAAAUCAUCAUUGCUCCCCCACGCAUGUUUUAACUACUUAUUAUGAAAUGUAAAUAAAUAAUAUUCGAAGGCAACAAACUAAAUCUUUUUAGUUUUAACUACUUAUUAUGAAAUGUAAAUUCGUUUGCAAAUGAAUCGCUCUUCUGGCUCGUAUCCGUUUUAACUACUUAUUAUGA